rnacentral:lncRNA from 1 species
UAUAUACCCCUUUAUUGGCUUGUAUUGAUGUAUAUGUUGUCCCUCUUAGUGUUAGACUCUGGAUCUGGACCUUUAGAGGUCCAGAGAGCAUUAUCUAUCCAACUUUAUGUUGUUCCAUGGAGGAAAUGAACCUAGGAUGCCAUUUUAGAAGCCAUUUCACCAAAAGAAGCUUUGUAUGUGUUGCAUGAGUGUCAAGAUUUGACCUUUACAUGAUUAUUGGACAUGGGGAAGUCAGAUCUAUAGGUUAGAGAAGCAGAUCUAGCCUCAGAAGGUUGAUUUGCUGAUUGUCAUGGAAGAAACUCGCCGAGUCCAUAAGGGGACUCGACGAGUCGAGUCGGGUUGCCCCGUGACUCGUGACCGAAUGUAGCCCGUCGAGUGGAAGGGUCACUCCACGAGUCGAGUGAGGUUUAGAAAGAUCCAGAGUACACGCUUGGACUCGCCGAGUCACCUAUGUGCACUCGACGAGUCUGGUCAAAGUUGAUCAUUGACUUUCGUUGACUUUUAGGGUUGGGUCAACACUUGGACUUUUGGACCAUUAGAAGGGUAAAAUGGUCUUUUAGAUUUCUAAGUGAACAUUGGAACAAAAAAGUCUAGCCUGGAGAGUCGUUAUUGAUUUGAGAUGAUUUCUUAUAUGUUUAGGCGGGGCUAGGUCAUUGUUACGAGGUUCAGGGAUACCGAGCACGUGAGUUACUUGACAGCAUACGAUGUGAGUCUUCUCAGUAUACAUUACCUAGAGUCGUAACUAUAUGUAGACCGAAGGGUCUUGUGUGUUAUGUGUAUGUAUGAGAUUAUGUGCAUUGUACUAUAUGUAUGCCAUGUUUUGUAUAGACCGGACCGGAGGGUCCAACGAUAUAGACCGGACCGAAGGGUCCAACGAUACAUAUCGGACUAGAGGGUCCAACGAGCUACGGGACUGGAGGGUCCCGCUGAGACACAUCGACCGAAGGGUCAUAUUGUAGCCUCGAGUGGCGUAUGUGUUACAUGUGGCAUUUUGGGGAACUCACUAAGCAUUUAUGCUUACCGUGUUAUGUGAUAUGUGUUUCAGUUACCAGCGAGGAUCGCGGGAAGGUGCCAACAUGAGUCGUACACACUGAGGGAUUUUGUGUAUUGAGAUCUUGGGAUUUGUUUUUAUUGGAUGAUAUGUAAACAUUGAAUUUUUGGGAUUUCUUUAUGAAUGAAUUAUGUGUUUAAAAUGAAAAAUUGUUUUGAAAAUUCACAUUGUUACAAGUUGGUAUCAGAGCCUUGGUUUGAGGGAUUCGGAUGCACCUUCGGGUGUAUCUAAACUCAAACUGAGGAUUUGAGAAAUAUUUCACAAUAAAACAAAUUUUCUAAAAGAGUAAAGGGUUUUGAAACAAGUAGAACAGAGUAAGUGUGUACGAUCAGCCAGCGCCCGAACGGUGAUUUCCCGAAAUACCCUUACGUUAUGUGUUAUGAGAUAUGAUAUGAUAUGCUAUGCAUGCUAGAGUAGGCUAGGUAUUCAUAUUAGGACUAGAGUGGCCUGAUCUGUGAUGCAUUAGCCUAGGAGAUUACUGCUGCUAUGAGAUGCUUGAGAGUGAGUAGGUAGCAGUGAGGAGCUUACGAGAGGUCUGUUGGAGAGUAACCUACGCAUAGAAAGAUUAGAGUACUUGUGAUCUGGGAUCCUAGGAGGAGGGCUUGGGGUGAAUACUGAUGCGGUGUGACGGUAGUAUAGGGCCUGUACUACUGAAGACACCGGAUCAGUGCGCAGUCGAAGUAAGAAUCCUUAGGGUACUAAGGAGCAAGUAAGGUUGAGUUAUCGAGUGUGAGUAUACUCGAGCGAGUCUCUGAUAUUUUUAUGUUGUAUUUCAGAGAUAUCAUGGUUGCGACACGCCACAGACCAGAGACCAGCCACAUGAGUGACGAGGAGCUUCGCUAGAUGAUCCGCGAUGAGGUGGUUGCGGCUAUCGGCGCAGAGAUACCAGAGAUGUUUGAGUCUAUCAAGACCACCCUAAUUGAGACGUUCGACGAGAGAUACGCAUCAGUUACUGAGGUUGCGGCUGCUGCAGCUACUACGGCUGUGGCUGCUGCUAGACCUCAAGGGGGUGACUCGUUGCUGUACCGGGAGUUCAGUAACACGAAGCCACCGGAGUUUGAUGGGACAUAGGAUCCGAAUGCUGCGAUGAGGUAGAUUUCUGCUAUCGAGGGAUGCUUCUAUGCCUGCUCGUGUCUGGAGCAUCUGAGGGUUCAGUUUGCACUAAACUAGUUUCGCUCGGGGGCAAAGGACUGGUGGAAGUUUGUUACCGCGGUGACCUGGGAGAGGUUCAACGCGAUGUUUCGAGAUGAGUAUGUUCCCCCUGUGGAGAGGGAACAUUUAUCCAAUGAGUUCUUGUCCCUCAAACAGGUAACUGAGUCUAUGACAUCAAUUACAAGGAUGUUUUCACGAGAUGGCGUUGUUUUGUCUUGAGCACGUGUCUUCUAAGCAGGAACGUAUGAGCCGGUGCUUGAGCAUUAUGAGGAGGGAUAUUUGUGAGUUCGUGGCGAACUCGUCAUACCGGACAUUUGCUGAGCUCCAGGCAAAUACCCGGAAGAGGGAGAUCGAGAUGGAGACACAUGUCAGGGAGGAGGCCGAGUCUCAGAGGAGGGACAGAUGACCGGCACAGGCUCAGCCGGCCGCUUAGCGGGCAAAUCCCUCUGAUUCGAGAUCUGGAGGUCCAAAAGGCCGCACUUAUUGGAAGUACGACAAGAGUCACGAGGGGGUGUGCAGAGCUGGGGUGUGUUACAAGUGUGGGAAGGAGGGGAAUUAUGCGAGGGAUCGUCCCAAGGGAUACUCGGUUUUCUUUCAUUGCAACCAGACCGGCCAUCGGAAGGCCGAGUGCCCACAACUGCUGCAGAAAUCGGCACAGGGAUCUGCACCUGCUGCCCGAGCUAUUGAGAUCCGGCCAGCAAAGGCUGAGGCACCGAAGGCUCGCGGGAAAGCUUUCCAGUUAAUAGCGGAGGAGGUCCGUGCAGCGCCCGACAUCGUGGCUGGUAUGUAUUCUUUCAUCUAUUUAUUUUGAGUUUGUGAUAUUGUGCUUAUAUUAUGGUAUACGUAGGUACUUUUCUUGUGAGUUCUGUACCUGCUUUGGUGUUAUUUAACUCGGGGUGCGUGUCGAUCUUUCGUGUCUUUAGCAUUUAAUCAGCACAUCAGUAUCUGUCGAGAGGCGUUGAGUCGGCCUCUUCGGGUUUCCAUAGCUGACGAGCGAGCGAUAUAUGCUGCUGAGGUGAUUCGGGGAUGUGUACUCGAGAUCUUCGGUGUUGAGUUCCCGAUAGAUCUGGUCCCGAUUACGAUGGGGGAUGUCUGUGUCAUCGUAGGCAUGGACUGGUUGAGCAGAUUCAGAGCGGUUAUCAAUGGCGAGCGGCAGUUGGUGACCAUACAAUACCCUAAUGGGGGAGUACUUACGGUGUACGGAGAGGGUACCUGAUCUGGGUCAGCAAAUUGUUCGGCUGCUAGAGCGAGACAGAGUCUACAGCAGGGCUGUAGUGGGUUUGUGGCCUAUGUGAUGGAUACACGAGUGACCGCGGAGAGGCCGAGUUUGGUUGGUGACGUACCAGUAGUGCGAGAGUUCCCGGACGUGUUCCCCGAGGAGUUUCCGGGUGUGCCUCCCACGAGGCACGUGGAGUUUCGUAUCGAUUUAGUCCCGGGAGCGGCGCUUAUCGCCAAAGCGCCUUAUCGCCUUGCGCCGCCAGAGAUGCAGGAGUUAUCCUCGCAGCUUCAGGAGCUGCUGGGAAAGGGGGUUAUUAGACCGAGUAGCUCACCGUGGGGAGCACCAAUCCUUUUUGUCAAGAAGAAGGAUGGUUCACGCUGGAUGUGCAUUGAUUACUGGGAGUUGAACAAGUUAAUGGUCAAGAACCGUUACCCCUUACCGAGGAUUGAUGAUCUGUUCGAUCAGUUGCAGGGAGCGUCUUGGUUCUCUAAGAUUGAUUUGAGGUCUGGAUAUCAUCAGAUGGGAGUGCGUAAUGAGGAUAUCUAGAAGACGGCGUUCAGGACUCGUUAUGGGCAUUACGAGUUCGUGGUGAUGCCUUUUGGGCUCACCAAUGCACCGGCAGCGUUCAUAGAUCUCAUGAACAGGGUGUGCAGCAGAUGUUGGAUCAUUCGGUGAUCAUGUUCAUCGAUGAUAUAUUGGUGUAUUCGAGAUCCAGAGAGCAAUAUGAUGAGCAUUUGAGGGAGAUCCUCGGAAUUCUGAGAUCGGAGAGGCUUUACGCCAAAUUCUCCAAGUGCGAUUUCUGGUUACGAGAGGUCUAGUUCCUGGAGCACCUCGUUAACCAGUACAGGAUAUUGGUCGAUCUGGCCAAGAUUGAGGCGGUUAUGAGAUGGGAAGUGCCGAAAUCCCCCAUCGAGAUCAGAAGUUUUCUGGGGUUGGCUGGCUACUAUCGGAGAUUUAUCAGAGAUUUCUCCAAGAUUGUCGUUCCUCUCACCAGGUUAACCCGGAAGGGCGUGGCUUUUAGUUGGGGUCCUGACCAGUAGGUCUCAUUCAAGACACUUCGCCAGAGAUUAUGCGAAGCCCCGGUGUUAGCCCUUUCGGAGGGGAUGGAAGAUUUUGUGGUGUAGGGUGACGCAUCGAUAUCAGGGUUGGGUGCGGUGCUGAUGCGGAGAGGGAACGUGAUAGCAUAUGCAUCAAGGCAACUGAAGCCUCAUGAGACGAGGUAUCCCACCCGCGAUUUGGAGUUGGGGAUCGUGGUGUUCGCCCUCAAGAUAUGGCGUCAUUAUUUGUAUGAGGAUGACGGUGAUGAAUCCAGUGUUGGAUACCAUUCGAGAGGCCCAGGCAGAGGCUGUGAGACCAGAGAACCACAAGAGAGAGCGAGUGAUUGGGCAGGUAUUGGAGUUCGUUACCGAUAGCCGAGGGCUUAUGACCUUUCAAGGUCCGAUUUGGGUGCCAUUUCCAGGUGGGGCAGGUACCACCUUGAUGGAGGAGGCGCACAGAUCGAGGUUCUCGAUCCAUCCGGGGGCCACUGAGAUGUAUUUGGACCUGAAGAGAGGCUAUUGGUGGCCAUGUAUGAAGAGGGAUGUUACAUGGUUCGUCGAGAGGUGCUUGACCUGUCGUAGGGUUAAGGCCGAGCACUAGCAUCUGCAUGGCAAGUUGCAGCCACUUGAUGUUCCCCAGUGGAAGUGGGAACAGAUUUCUACGGAUUUCAUCACCAAAUUACUGAGAACUACGAUGGGCGUUGAUGCAAUUUGAGUGAUUGUUGAUCAGCUGACGAAUAGCGCUCACUUCCUUGCUAUCAGUGAGAGAUCUUCCGUAGAGAGGCUGGCAGAGAUGUAUGUGAGAGAGGUGGUAUCGCGACAUGGUGUACCGAUCUCGAUUUUGUCAGAUUGAGAUGUACGUUUCACUUCCAGCUUCUGGAAGAAGUUCCAUGAGGAGUUGGGUACGAGAUUGCAUUUCAGUACCGUAUACCUGUUGGAUAAGGUGUCUAAGUCCAUAACUAUUUCGGGCUUGUACUUGAGCCGACCCGGCAUGGUCCAUUUGGGUUGCAUGGCACCAUGCAAUUGGUUAGACUAAAUGAGAGAAAUAACACUUGGAGAUUAUUAAUAUAUUAUAAGUUCUAAUAUAUUAAUAAUAUUAUUUGAUUAGUUUGAUCAAGAAUUAAUUUGGAAUUAAUUAAGUGAUCAAAGGAUAACUAAUUAAAUAUAUGGGUUGAUUAUGUAAAUCAUCCAUAUCUUGUAUAGUGGGCUAAGAGGCUCCAUGGAUUAUCAAGUUGGGUCUACCCAGAUGCUCCAUGGAUGCUCCAUGGGAGUUACAAACCCAUGGGUCAUGGAAAUGAAGAGUCAUGACACAUUAGGGUUUACAUGGUGUAACCCUAGAUGUGUCAACACUAUAUAAGGAUCCCAUUCUCCACAAAAUCGGCGAAGAAAAAGAAACUAGAGGGCUUGGCCGAUUUUGACAAGUGUGUGUUAUCUCAAGAGUCUUUCCAAGAGCAUUUGGUGUUGUGUGAAGCAUUUGAGGCAUCACACUUGGGGUGCUAGGCUCACAAGGUUUCAAGGAACACAAGCAACAACAAGGUAAGUUAUUCUAUCUAUGAUUCAAGUUAAAAUUGUUCCCCAUGUAUGCUAGAUAGGAAUAUAACCUUGGAAUUCAACUUUGCAUGAUAAUUAGACAAACAUAGAUCCAAGGUUAUUAGGGUUGCAUGUACACUUAGGAAGUGUUAGAAUGCUCAAAACCCAUCAGUGGUAUCAGAGCCUAGGCUUGUUUGUUUGUUAUUUGUGCUUAAAAGUUGAAGAAAGUCGAAAAUCUUGCUGUCUGACUGAUGGACUCGGCGAGUCCAUGGGGAGGACUCGACGAGUUCAUGUGUAUCUUCAACCUACUCGGCGAGUAGGUUUAUGCACUCGGCGAGUAGGGUCGACAGAGUGCAGAAUUUCGACUUGUGUUGCUGGAAAUGGAUUAGAAUCAUUACCCUAAAAUGUUUUGGUACUUGAAAACUUAUUUUAGAAGGUGUAAUGUCUUUUCUAACUCAUUUACAACAACUAGUUAUCAAAAUUACAAAGAUUAAAUGUGAUUUUGAUUCUUGAAAGUGUUCAUAUUCAUAUUCUUGUUCUUAUGAUGUUUAGAUGAUCAUAGGAAUUAUUUGUAACCUAUGUGGUAGAUUAAUUCAUGAUCAUAAUGUGUUUUAAUGGAGUCCAUAACUUGUCCUCAAGUUAUGGAAAACCAAAAGUCUCUUGGAUUAAAAACCAUUAAAAGAACACAAGAGUUAGGAAAAAUGAAAAGUCCUCAUUUUAUUACUCUAUUAAACUCAUAAGUUACAAGAAAUGAAAAGUUUUGAAAGUUUACAAAACUUGCCCUCAAGUUUUGGAACAAGUAAAGUUAAGUUAAAACUUUAGUUCCAACCCCUAGAAUUUUAAAAGUUAAAAUUCAACCCUUAUACUUAUAUUAUUAUGAUUUAAUAAUUAUAUAUAUAUGUAUAAGAACAAAGUCGUCUUACCGCUAGUACGCCUCAUUCACGAAGCCGGUCUAUAAGGUGGGUAUAAGGUUGUUGCCUAUAAAAUGGUGACUUAAUGGGUGUCCACUCUCACCCACCGCUUGCUUGAUCGGUGGAGGGUCGUUAGCCGAACGGGUAAGACAAGGACUUAUUAAUUCUCAUUCAAAGUAUGAUGAAUAUUAUAAAGUAACUAAAUGUUUUAUUAAAUUCCCAAUCUUAGUUACUUUAGGAAAAAUGUGAAUAAGGUGCUAUUCCAUGAAAUUACACUUUACACUUUGAUUAAGUCGUUGGUGGAGCGUGUGUGGUUAACCGGCACACUAACUUGGACUUAACAAGGUAGGUAAAGGGUGACUUAGGGUUUAUUAUAGUAUCGAUGGAGCGUGUGUGGUUAACCGGCACAUCGAUUGAGUGAUAAACUUUAAGGGUACCAAGUGAUUUGCAUGGUUACUUCACACCUCGUUUUGUGAUCCUCGGUAUCCCAGUCACAAAACUUGGAGGGCACACUCGAGAUUGAAACAUGCCUUUGAAAAGUUCAUUGAAUCUCAAAGAAUCUAGGAAUUUCUAAGAACCAUUCAAAAACCUAAUACUAAAAUAUUGCGGUUUUCGUGGUGGAAAUUGGUGAAUCGUCAUUCACCUACCUUUCAAAUAUGAUAUAGCUUAGAUUACGGCAUACCUCUUCUAAGUUAUAUUAUAUUGUGAUUGGAUCCUAGCCUUAAUAUUACAUUUGGGUGUUUUAUUAAGGACUCUCUUAUAUCUAAACUAAUCUUGUCCUCUUUCCUUCAGAUGUCUUUCAACAAUGCUUCUGGCUCUAAUCCUAAUGGCUCCUUUACCCUUAUGAACUUGUGUGGGAAAGUCACCUUUGAUGGAUCCAACUUCAAUGAGUGGAUCAGAAACAUCAGGAUGAUUACCCGCUACGAGGACAAAGAAUAUGUCCUUGACAAGGAGCUUAAGGAGAUUGAUGAGUCCACUGCAACUCCUCAGGAGAUCGCUGAAUUUCGGGCACAUGAAAGGGAUGCUACGAAAGUGGCUUGCAUCAUGAUGGCCACGAUGACAGCGGAACUCCAAAAGUCUUAUGAGGAUUUCUACCCUUAUGACAUGCACCAAGAUUUGAUGGAAAGAUACCAUCAAAGUGCAAGACAAGAGAGGUAUGAAAUCAUCUGCUCCAUGAUAACAACCAUGAUGAAGGACGGGGAAUCCGUCACGAGCCACAUGCAGAAAAUGCAAAGGUAUGUGGAUCGUUUGCUGAAGCUUAAUGUGAACUUCCCGGAGGAUCUUGCAAUAGAUAUUAUUUUGCAUUCCUUACCAUCGUGCUAUGAUCAAUUCCGCAUGACAUAUCACAUGAACAAGGAAGAAGUCACCCUCAGCAAACUUCAGGGACUUCUCAAGACCGCAGAAACAGGUCUUAAGGGGAAGUCGGUUGCUAUCACUCCUACUCAAAACUCUACUCCGGUUUUGGCAAUCGGGAAAAGUCGAGGGAGGAAGAGAAAGAGCUCUUCUAAGGGUACCAAGGCUCGGACCCUUGAUGGCUCUUCUUCAAGUGGAACCAAGAAAGGUUUCGUUACUCCUUCUUCUGACCCAAAAGAGGCUGAAUGCUUCUAUUGCCAUGAAAAAGCUCAUUGGAAGCGGAACUGCCCAAAAUACCAGCAAGAUGUGAAGGAUGGGAAAGUUAAACCCAACCAUGCAGGUAUUUACACUAUCAUUUCUAAUAACUCACCCCAUUCUAAUUCUUGGGUCCUUGAUACCGGGUGUGGUAUUCACAUUUGUUGUGACUUGCAGGGACUAAGAAGAAGUGAGGAUGUGGAGCAAGGAAGGAUAAACUUGAUCAUGGGGAAUAGGAAAGCUAUACCUGUUACCAAGAUUGGAGUUUAUACUUUAUCGCUAAGUAGUGGGUUUAGUUUAGAUUUGAAUAAGUGUUGUUAUUCGCCAGGAAUGGCAAGAAAUAUUAUUUCCUUUCAUGCUUUGUACAAACAAGGGUUUACCUUUUCAUUUAAUAAUGAAGUUGGUUCUAUAGAUGUUUUCUAUAAUAAUGUCUUUUAUUUUAAAGCAUUACCUUGUGAUGGUGUGUAUGAAGCUGUAUCUGUUGUAGAUAACUUGGGAAAUAAUGUUUUGUGUAUUGAUUCUACUAAUAAUAACUUGGAUAAAGCAUCUUUAUGGCAUUGUCGUCUUGGACAUAUAAGCAAGAAACGCAUAGGCCAACUCCAAAAGGAUGGAGUCUUGGAGUCGUUUGACCUAAAGUCAGAUGAUAGUUGCGAAUCAUGCUUACUUGGAAAAAUGACAAAGUCACCCUUCACAGGUUCGUGUGAGAGGGGUGAAGGUUUGUUGGACCUUAUACACACGGAUGUGUGUGGACCAUUCAAACAUGCCACAAGGGAUGCUAAUCGUUAUUAUUUGACUUUUACUGAUGAUUAUAGUAGAUAUGGAUAUGUCUACUUGAUCAAGCAUAAGUCAGAGACUUUCGAGAGGUUUAAGGAAUUUAAACAGGAAGUCGAGAAUCAAUUGGGCAGGAACAUUAAGAUGCUUCGAUCCGAUCGUGGUGGUGAGUAUCUUAGUUCAGAGUUCCUCGACUAUCUAAGGGAAUGUGGGAUAGUCUCACAAUUGACACCUCCCAGGACACCACAGUUGAAUGGUGUGGCUGAGAGGCGUAAUCGAACCUUGUUAGAUAUGGUUCGUUCCAUGAUGAGUCGAGCUACGCUACCAAUCUCAUUCUGGGGGUAUGCCUUAGAGACUGCCGCCCAUAUUCUUAAUCUAGUCCCUACAAAGAAAGUUGCCAAAACUCCUCACGAGAUGUGGACUGGUAAAGUACCUAAACUAGACCACAUCAAGAUUUGGGGUUGCGAGGCUUUCGUGAGACGCGAGACUCAUGAUAAGCUCGAACCUCGAAGCGAGAGGUGUAUUUUCAUCGGUUACCCACAGCGAUCCUUUGGUUACCUCUUCUACAGACCUAGUGACAAUGUGGUCUUUGUAGCAAGAAGAGGAGUCUUUCGAGAAAGAGAGUUUAUAAGCCAAGGAGACAGUGGGAGGCAAAUUGAUCUUGAAGAAAUUCAAGAAUCAAGCGGUGAAGGAACUUCAAACUCUAGCCCUCAACUUGAGGAGGAAACUCCUGUUGAGCCAAUUGACAAAUCUGUACCUCUGAGACGUUCCACGAGAGUUAGGAGUGCACCUGAGCAUUACUAUGGAUUCCAUAUUACUGCAGAAGGUGAGACACUUAUUAGUGAUGAGACACUAGUAAGUCAAGAUGACCCUAACAGCUACGAGGAAGCCAUGGCAGGCCCCGAGUCUGCUAAAUGGAAAGAGGCUAUGGAUAGCGAGAUACAAUCCAUGUAUGACAAUCAAGUUUGGAACUUGGUUGAAAAUGUACCAGGUCGUAAGACAGUAGGGUGCAAAUGGGUCUUCAAGAAGAAGACCGACAUGGAUGGUAAAGUACACACUUAUAAGGCUAGACUGGUUGCAAAGGGCUUCUCUCAAAUUCCUGGAGUGGAUUAUGAUGAGACCUUUUCUCCGGUAGCCAAGAUUAAGUCUAUUCGGGUUCUGUUAGCCAUAGCUGCAUUUCAUGACUAUGAAAUAUGGCAGAUGGAUGUCAAAACCGCUUUCCUUAAUGGAAAGUUGGCUGAAGAUGUUUACAUGAGUCAGCCAGAGGGUUUUGUCAGCAACGAGUACCCUAAUAGAGUGUGUAAGCUUGAGAAAUCCAUUUAUGGAUUGAAGCAAGCACCUCGCAGAUGGAAUCUUUGCUUUGAUGAAAAGGUCAAGGAAUUUGGCUUUUCUAGGAGUGAAGAUGAAUCUUGUGUGUAUGUCAAGGCUAGUGGGAGUAUAGUUAGCUUUUUGGUAUUGUAUGUGGAUGACAUACUACUCAUAGGAAACGACAUUCCAACCCUGCAGGAAGUAAAGUCCUGGCUUGGGAAGUGUUUCGCUAUGAAGGACCUUGGUGAAGCUGCCUAUAUUCUAGGGAUAAGAAUCUUGAGAGAUCGGAGUAAAAGACUAAUUGGACUUAGUCAGAGUACCUACUUGGAUAAGGUGCUGAAGAGAUUCAGCAUGCAGGAUUCCAAGAAAGGAGAGUUACCCAUCCAGAGUAACACCAGAUUGAGUAAGACACAAAGCCCUAGCACUGAGGCUGAGAUAGCAGAAAUGAGUCGAACACCUUACGCUUCGGCUGUAGGAUCGAUCAUGUAUGCUAUGACGUGUACUCGACCCGAUGUAGCUUUUGCCUUGAGCAUGGUUAGCAGGUAUCAGGCGAACCCUGGCAAGGCACACUGGACUGCGGUAAAGAAUAUCCUCAAGUACCUACGGAGGACUAAGGACUGGGUCCUUACCCUCGGUGGGAGUGAUGACUUGAGAGUUGUAGGGUAUAGUGAUGCUAGCUUCCAGACUGAUAGGGAUAAUUUCCGCUCUCAGUCGGGCUGGGUCUUUACCCUAAACGGAGGAGCAAUUUCUUGGAAGAGUUCCAAGCAAGAGACAGUGGCAGAUUCUACUUGUGAAUCAGAGUAUAUUGCAGCUAGUGAAGCAGCAAAGGAGGCGAUAUGGCUGAAGAACUUCAUUGGAGACCUUGGAGUUGUACCAGCUAUUAAAGAGCCAAUGGAAAUUUUCUGUGAUAGUGAAAGUGCUGUUGCCUUAGCCAAGGAACCAAGGGAUCAUGGGAGAUCCAGACACAUCGACAGAAAAUACCAUUUCAUUAGACAUCGGAUCGAAGAAGGACUCCUCGUGGCAAAGAGGGUAUCAUCGGAUGAGAACCCAGCAGAUCCCCUCACGAAGGGACUGAGUAGGGUUAAGCAUCUCCAGCAUGCUCGGAGCAUAGGGCUGAAGGAUGAUAUAAGUUUUAGUAGUUAGAUAACCCAGAAAUUUGUAAAGUGUAAUUGACAUUUGAUGAUGAAUAAAAGGUGUUUUAUUUAUGAGUAAAGUGUUGCUAUCUCUUGUCGAUCGUUUACUAUAUUUCUUUUGCAUGUUUUGACUUCCAGAAUAAUUUUGUUUGGUAUAACAUAUUAUUCAAACCUCCACAGUCGGUCAUAUGUCGGAAGUAGGUAUGAAUCAAGACUGUCAUGAUGGGUUGUAGAGGUCUAAGGUGUUGGACAAGGCUACAACAAUCAUGAGUGCUCAUAAGUUCUGAGCAUUGGACUCAACCCACGCUCACUGGAAUCACUUCAUGGAAUUCUAUCUCGAGUGAUCGUGAGACGGUAAUAUCAUAUAAGUCUUCAAACCUAGAGAUAUGAUUUGUUACUUACAAGUUGGUUAUGCAUUGACUGUACGAAACCGCAUUGGUAACUCGAUGUUAUAAAACGUACUUUUGUGUGUAAUUCAAUGAGUGGUAGAACAAACAUAUGAGUCGAAGUUUAUCUGUUCCUUCUUGGAUUAGAAGCUGAUAUCUGGGCCCCUCGAUGAUUUUGUUUUGACCCAUGUACCGGGCCCGGUCAGAACUAAGUUGAUGUGUUCAAUUAAGUUCUAUGUCAAACAAAUCGGAAAUCGGGAAACAAAUGCUGGACAAUAAGCAAGACAAUGUUCCAUGUAUUUGUCCGGCUGAUAUCUAGAACGGAGGAUUAUAUGAUCACUUAUCUUAAAUGGCGUACCAUCAUCUUCUCAGUUCCGAGAGACCUUGAAAGAGCUACGAUUGCCGGUCGGUUCCUGAAGUACUAGAGAUAUAGUUAUUAGACUUAUCCAAGUGGGAGACUGUUGGAUAAGGUGUCUAAGUCCAUAACUAUUUCGGGCUUGUACUUGACCCGACCCGGCAUGGUCCAUUUGGGUUGCAUGGCACCAUGCAAUUGGUUAGACUAAAUGAGAGAAAUAACACUUGGAGAUUAUUAAUAUAUUAUAAGUUCUAAUAUAUUAAUAAUAUUAUUUGAUUAGUUUGAUCAAGAAUUAAUUUGGAAUUAAUUAAGUGAUCAAAGGAUAACUAAUUAAAUAUAUGGGUUGAUUAUGUAAAUCAUCCAUAUCUUGUAUAGUGGGCUAAGAGGCUCCAUGGAUUAUCAAGUUGGGUUCUACCCAUAGGAUGCUCCAUGGAUGCUCCAUGGGAGUUACAAACCCAUGGGUCAUGGAAAUGAAGAGUCAUGACACAUUAGGGUUUACAUGGUGUAACCCUAGAUGUGUCAACACUAUAUAAGAAUCAUAUUCUCCACCAAAAUCGGCUACACUAAGAAACUAGAGGGCUUGGCCGAUUUUGAGAAGUGUGUGUUAUCUCAAGAGUCUUUCCAAGAGCAUUUGGUGUUGUGUGAAGCAUUUGAGGCAUCACACUUGGGGUGCUAGGCUCACAAGGUUUCAAGGAACACAAGCAACAACAAGGUAAGUUAUUCUAUCUAUGAUUCAAGUUAAAAUUGUUCCCCAUGUAUGCUAGAUAGGAAUAUAACCUUGGAAUUCAACUUUGCAUGAUAAUUAGACAAACAUAGAUCCAAGGUUAUUAGGGUUGCAUGUACACUUAGGAAGUGUUAGAAUGCUCAAAACCCAUCAAUACCACCCACAGACAGACGGACAGAGUGAGCGGACGAUUCAAACGAUCGAGGACAUGCUUCGGGCAUGUGUGUUGGACUUCGAAGGAAGUUGGGACACGUACUUACAAUUGGUUGAGUUUUCCUAUUACAACAGCCACCAUUCGAUCAUUGGUAUGCCUCCCUUCGAGUUGUUGUAUGGAAGGAGGUGUCGGACUCCCAUCUGCUGGGGAGAGGUAGGGCAGCGAGUGAUGGGUAGCACUGAGAUAGUAUUUUAGACUACUGAGCAAAUUCAGCAGGUCAGGCAGAGAUUGCUAACAGCCCAGAGUUUCCAGAAGAGUUAUGCGGAUAGGCGACAAUCCGAGCUUGAGUUUUAGGUUGGAGACUUCGUACUCCUGAAGGUGUCUCCUUGAAAAGGAGUGAUCCGAUUCAGGAAUAGGGGCAAGCUAGAGCCCCAGUACAUUGGCCCUUUCAGGGUGACCGUGAGGGUGGGCAGGGUAGCAUAUCGCUUAGAGCUACCUGCAGAGAUGGGCCGGAUACAUGAUACCUUCCACGUGCCUCAGUUGAGGAAGUGUAUAUCCGACAAGUCGGCAGUGGUACCAUUGGAGGAUAUUCAGGUGGAUGCGAGCCUGAUUUAUGUUGAGAGGCCAAUCGCAGUGGUGUAUCGGAAGAUCAAGUUUCUGAGGAACAAGGAGGUGUCCCUGGUUCAGGUCCAGUGGCAACAUCGGAAAGUGUCUAAGCUGACUUGGGAGCCGGAGGCAUAGAUGCGGGAGCAGCACCCAGAGUUGUUUGCAGAAUGAGACUUCGAGGGCGAAGUCUAAUUCUAGUGGGGGAGAAUUUUAAAAUCUGGAUUUCCAAGUAUCAUAUUUUAAUUUUUUAAUUUGACUUAUGAGGAGGGACUCGGUGAGUUGACGCUUAGACUCGCGGGGUAGGGUCGCGAUUGUUGACUGGAUUAAUGAACGGACUCGACGAGUCGAUGGGUGGACUCGACGAGUCCACGCUGAUGUUAGAAACCCUAAAUCUUCGGGCCUGUGCCCUAUCUAAGGGACCUUAUAUCCCUCAUCUGUGGCUACCAGUCCAGAGAGAGAACCCCUAGAGAGCUUCAGUGAGUUGUGUGUGUGUGUGAGAGAGAGAGAGAGAGAGAGAGAGAGCUAUUUAAUCCCUUUUUGUUGUGGUUUUGCAAAGAAGAAGGUGUUUCCAGCAAGAGGAUGUUAAGGGGAUUGUGAUUCUGCGGUUUUCAAGCUUAGGUCUUCAUUAUUGAGGUAUAAAACCGAUCCCUUCUUCUGUUUUGUGCAAAUCCUUGAAUCUAGGGUUUUCUAUACCCCUUUGUUGGCUUGUAUUUAUGCAUAUGUUGUCCCUCUUAGUGUUAGACUCUGGAUCUGGACCUUUAGAGGUCCAGAGAGCAUUAUCUAUCCAACUUUAUGUUGUCCCAUGGAGGAAAUGAACCUAGGAUGCCAUUUUAGAAGCCAUUUCACCAAAAGAAGCAUUGUAUGCAUUUCAUGAGUGUCAAGAUUUGACCUUUACGUGAUUAUUGGACAUGG